rnacentral:rRNA from 1 species
CGGGAAUAUUGGACAAUGGGCGCAAGCCUGAUCCAGCAAUACCGCGUGUGUGAAGAAGGCCUGCGGGUUGUAAAGCACUUUCAGUUGGGAAGAUAAUGACGUUACCAACAGAAGAAGCACCGGCUAACUCCGUGCCAGCAGCCGCGGUAAUACGGAGGGUGCAAGCGUUAAUCGGAAUUACUGGGCGUAAAGCGUGCGUAGGCGGUUUUUUAAGUCAGAUGUGAAAUCCCCGGGCUCAACCUGGGAACUGCAUCUGAUACUGGGAGACUAGAGUGUGGGAGAGGAGAGUGGAAUUUCCGGUGUAGCGGUGAAAUGCAUAGAGAUCGGAAGGAACAUCAGUGGCGAAGGCGACUCUCUGGACCAACACUGACGCUGAGGCACGAAAGCGUGGGUAGCAAAC